rnacentral:rRNA from 1 species
GGUUAAGCGACUAAGCGUACACGGUGGAUGCCCUGGCAGUCAGAGGCGAUGAAGGACGUGCUAAUCUGCGAUAAGCGUCGGUAAGGUGAUAUGAACCGUUAUAACCGGCGAUUUCCGAAUGGGGAAACCCAGUGUGAUUCGUCACACUAUCAUUAACUGAAUCCAUAGGUUAAUGAGGCGAACCGGGGGAACUGAAACAUCUAAGUACCCCGAGGAAAAGAAAUCAACCGAGAUUCCCCCAGUAGCGGCGAGCGAACGGGGAGCAGCCCAGAGCCUGAAUCAGUGUGUGUGUUAGUGGAAGCGUCUGGAAAGGCGUGCGAUACAGGGUGACAGCCCCGUACACAAAAAUGCACAUACUGUGAGCUCGAUGAGUAGGGCGGGACACGUGGUAUCCUGUCUGAAUAUGGGGGGACCAUCCUCCAAGGCUAAAUACUCCUGACUGACCGAUAGUGAACCAGUACCGUGAGGGAAAGGCGAAAAGAACCCCGGCGAGGGGAGUGAAAAAGAACCUGAAACCGUGUACGUACAAGCAGUGGGAGCACGCUUAGGCGUGUGACUGCGUACCUUUUGUAUAAUGGGUCAGCGACUUAUAUUCUGUAGCAAGGUUAACCGAAUAGGGGAGCCGAAGGGAAACCGAGUCUUAACUGGGCGUUAAGUUGCAGGGUAUAGACCCGAAACCCGGUGAUCUAGCCAUGGGCAGGUUGAAGGUUGGGUAACACUAACUGGAGGACCGAACCGACUAAUGUUGAAAAAUUAGCGGAUGACUUGUGGCUGGGGGUGAAAGGCCAAUCAAACCGGGAGAUAGCUGGUUCUCCCCGAAAGCUAUUUAGGUAGCGCCUCGUGAAUUCAUCUCCGGGGGUAGAGCACUGUUUCGGCAAGGGGGUCAUCCCGACUUACCAACCCGAUGCAAACUGCGAAUACCGGAGAAUGUUAUUACGGGAGACACACGGCGGGUGCUAACGUCCGUCGUGAAGAGGGAAACAACCCAGACCGCCAGCUAAGGUCCCAAAGUCAUGGUUAAGUGGGAAACGAUGUGGGAAGGCCCAGACAGCCAGGAUGUUGGCUUAGAAGCAGCCAUCAUUUAAAGAAAGCGUAAUAGCUCACUGGUCGAGUCGGCCUGCGCGGAAGAUGUAACGGGGCUAAACCAUGCACCGAAGCUGCGGCAGCGACGCUUAUGCGUUGUUGGGUAGGGGAGCGUUCUGUAAGCCUGUGAAGGUGUGCUGUGAGGUAUGCUGGAGGUAUCAGAAGUGCGAAUGCUGACAUAAGUAACGAUAAAGCGGGUGAAAAGCCCGCUCGCCGGAAGACCAAGGGUUCCUGUCCAACGUUAAUCGGGGCAGGGUGAGUCGACCCCUAAGGCGAGGCCGAAAGGCGUAGUCGAUGGGAAACAGGUUAAUAUUCCUGUACUUGGUGUUACUGCGAAGGGGGGACGGAGAAGGCUAUGUUGGCCGGGCGACGGUUGUCCCGGUUUAAGCGUGUAGGCUGGUUUUCCAGGCAAAUCCGGAAAAUCAAGGCCGAGGCGUGAUGACGAGGCACUACGGUGCUGAAGCAACAAAUGCCCUGCUUCCAGGAAAAGCCUCUAAGCAUCAGGUAACAUCAAAUCGUACCCCAAACCGACACAGGUGGUCAGGUAGAGAAUACCAAGGCGCUUGAGAGAACUCGGGUGAAGGAACUAGGCAAAAUGGUGCCGUAACUUCGGGAGAAGGCACGCUGAUACGUAGGUGAAGCGACUUGCUCGUGGAGCUGAAAUCAGUCGAAGAUACCAGCUGGCUGCAACUGUUUAUUAAAAACACAGCACUGUGCAAACACGAAAGUGGACGUAUACGGUGUGACGCCUGCCCGGUGCCGGAAGGUUAAUUGAUGGGGUUAGCGCAAGCGAAGCUCUUGAUCGAAGCCCCGGUAAACGGCGGCCGUAACUAUAACGGUCCUAAGGUAGCGAAAUUCCUUGUCGGGUAAGUUCCGACCUGCACGAAUGGCGUAAUGAUGGCCAGGCUGUCUCCACCCGAGACUCAGUGAAAUUGAACUCGCUGUGAAGAUGCAGUGUACCCGCGGCAAGACGGAAAGACCCCGUGAACCUUUACUAUAGCUUGACACUGAACAUUGAGCCUUGAUGUGUAGGAUAGGUGGGAGGCUUUGAAGUGUGGACGCCAGUCUGCAUGGAGCCGACCUUGAAAUACCACCCUUUAAUGUUUGAUGUUCUAACGUGGACCCGUGAUCCGGGUUGCGGACAGUGUCUGGUGGGUAGUUUGACUGGGGCGGUCUCCUCCUAAAGAGUAACGGAGGAGCACGAAGGUUGGCUAAUCCUGGUCGGACAUCAGGAGGUUAGUGCAAUGGCAUAAGCCAGCUUGACUGCGAGCGUGACGGCGCGAGCAGGUGCGAAAGCAGGUCAUAGUGAUCCGGUGGUUCUGAAUGGAAGGGCCAUCGCUCAACGGAUAAAAGGUACUCCGGGGAUAACAGGCUGAUACCGCCCAAGAGUUCAUAUCGACGGCGGUGUUUGGCACCUCGAUGUCGGCUCAUCACAUCCUGGGGCUGAAGUAGGUCCCAAGGGUAUGGCUGUUCGCCAUUUAAAGUGGUACGCGAGCUGGGUUUAGAACGUCGUGAGACAGUUCGGUCCCUAUCUGCCGUGGGCGCUGGAGAACUGAGGGGGGCUGCUCCUAGUACGAGAGGACCGGAGUGGACGCAUCACUGGUGUUCGGGUU